AGAGUUUGAUCAUGGCUCAGAAUCAACGCUGGCGGCGCGCUUAACACAUGCAAGUCGAACGAGAAAGUGGAGCAAUCCAUGAGUACAGUGGCGUACGGGUGAGUAACACGUGGGUAAUCUGCCUUUUAGUGAGGAAUAACGAUGGGAAACCGUCGCUAAUACCGCAUAAGCCCGAGAGGGGAAAGUCGCAAGACGCUGAAAGAGGAGCCCGCGGCCGAUUAGCUAGUUGGUAGGGUAAGAGCCUACCAAGGCAGAGAUCGGUAGCCGGCCUGAGAGGGCACACGGCCACACUGGCACUGAAACACGGGCCAGACUCCUACGGGAGGCAGCAGUGGGGAAUCUUGCACAAUGGGGGCAACCCUGAUGCAGCGACGCCGCGUGAGCGAUGAAGCCCUUCGGGGUGUAAAGCUCUUUCGGCAGGGAAGAUUAUGACGGUACCUGCAGAAGCAGCUGCGGCUAACUACGUGCCAGCAGCCGCGGUAAUACGUAGGCAGCGAGCGUUGUUCGGAGUUACUGGGCGUAAAGGGUGUGUAGGCGGUUCUUUAAGUUUGGUGUGAAAUCUCCCGGCUCAACCGGGAGGGUGCGCCGAAUACUGAGGGACUAGAGUGUGGGAGAGGAAAGUGGAAUUCCUGGUGUAGCGGUGAAAUGCGUAGAUAUCAGGAGGAACACCGGUGGUGUAGACGGCUUUCUGGACCAUAACUGACGCUGAGACACGAAAGCGUGGGUAGCAAACAGGAUUAGAUACCCCAGUAGUCC
rnacentral:rRNA from 1 species